rnacentral:rRNA from 1 species
UCUCAACUUUAUUAGAAGAGACGCAUUUAUUAGAUAUUAAGCCAAUGCAUGCUAUUACAGUAUGGAAAUUGGUGAUUUAUAAUAACUUAGCAAAUCGCAACAUGAAAACAGGCGAUAAAUCAUUCAAGUUUCUGACCUAUCAGCUUUCGACGGUAUGGUAUUGGCUUACCGUGGCAGUGACGGUUAACGGGGGAUUAGGGUUCGAUUCCGGAGAGGGAGCCUGAGAAACGGCUACCACAUCUAAGGAAGGCAGCAGGCGCGCAAAUUACCCAAUUCUAACAGUUUGAGAGAGGUAGUAACAAGAAAUAACAAUACAAGGCAAUUAAAAUGCUUUGUAAUUGGAAUGAUAGAAAUUUAAACCCUUUUUAAAGUAUCAAUUGGAGGGCAAGUCUGGUGCCAGCAGCCGCGGUAAUUCCAGCUCCAAUAGCCUAUAUUAAAAUUGUUGCAGUUAAAAAGCUCGUAGUUGAAGUUCUGCUAAAAGUAACCGGUCUGCUUUUAAUAAAAGUGGUAUCUUGGUGUGUAUUUAGCAAUGAUGUCCUUUGAAGUGUUUAUUACUUUAUUGUAAUAAAGCAUAUUCAGGACUUUUACUUUGAGAAAAUUAGAGUGUAUCUAGC